GGAGGAGUGCGAGAGCGGCCGAAUCGGCACGCUUGGAAAGCGUGUGAACCGAAAGGUUCCGUGGGUUCGAAUCCCACCUCCUCCG
rnacentral:tRNA from 1 species